GCAGGCUACCCCCUUGCUGCAAUUUUAUGGAUAAAUGACAUUUGUUUAUUUGAUCUCAGAUGCAGUGUUGUCUUUGGCACUAGAAAGUGUGACAUGGAAGAUUCUAUCACGAUGAGAAUACCGCUUACUGAGGGUUUGCAAUGGACCACUGAUCAGCACUUCACAUAAUCUGCACAAAAUCUCCCAUUAAGCCCUGAAAGGCACCAGGCUUGCUUUGACUGGCUGCCCUCAGAGUGUAUGAAGAUGAGAGUGUUAUUAGAAUCCAAAGUCACUCAUUGGCCAGUGCUGGUAAACUAAAAUCCGAAAUGUGUGCAAAAUGCGUUUUCUCUUUGGAGAAAGUGACAUCUCAUCUGAGUGCCUCGGGCCCCUGCAGGAUGUUAUCUGCUGAGAAGAAAUCACACAUGCCAGGUUAUCUGUCUUCAGGUGAUUUCUUCGAAGUGUGGCGGCACCUCCCUUGAUGACUGCUGGGGGGUAUAAUGAAUCACCCACUUGCGGGAGAAGGCUGAAGAAUUUGCUUUACCAGAGAUACAGAAGUGGAGGGAAUGCACAGGUAUUGAAGUGUGUGUGCACGCAUAUGUGAAUUUACAUGCUUUGCAUGCCCCUGUGUGCACGCAUGUGUGCAUUUGUGUGUGCACGAGUGCACUGAUGUACACACAUGUGCAUCUCCAGCCCUGCUGAGGUCUCAUGGAGGGGCGGAUCAAGACAGUUCCUUAGAGACGACUACUAGCAAGGCUUUUAUGGAGGUGGCCUGGCCCUGGGAAGCUUAGAGCAUCAGAUUGUGAAGCAAAAUUUUACAUAACGACUCUAGGAAGGAUUGUGGGGUAAUGGAAGGAAUACCAAUCCAGGAAGCAAGGCACUGAGCCCUGUCUCUGCCCCCAGCCUGCUGGGCGACUUCAGGAGACUCAUCAGCCUCCUGAGCCUCAUUUUCCCCACAUGUGAAGCUGUGAAACCCAAACUCCUUGCCAAAGUGUUCCAGGUCUGUAGUAGGUGCUGUGGUGCGUGACUCUCCUUCGGGACUGAGCCCCCUGUCUCCCAGCUGCUGGAGUGGGUGCUCCUCAGAAACGAAGAGUCCUUCAUCCAAGGUCCUCCCGUCCCUAGGGAGCAGCCAGCUGGGGACAUACCCGUGCAUGUGUCAGGCCCAGUCCCCGGCCUGAUACCUCUGCAGGCCAUCCCAGCUCCAUGCUCCCUGAGGGACUGGCAGAAUCCUCUCUUGUGAAUGCACGGCAGCCUGGCUUCUCUGCUAGACUUCUACUUCCCUUUGACUCCCUUUCAAACGGACAGUUCCAAGAGCACUGCCUGAUCAUGCCCCUGCCUACAGACUUUCAUCUCAGGAGAUCCCAGAACAACACGCCAGUGGUCUGCGCCUCUGUGACGGCCCCUCCUCCACCGUCCCUCACUCUCUUCAUCAAAGCACACUCCAGCCUCAGGGCCUUUGCACCUUCCUUCUGUAGAAAACCCUUCCCCCCACCCUUUGUAGAUGACUUCCUACCAUUUAAAUCUCAGCGAAAUGGUCAUGUCCUCAGUAAGGCCUUCCCUGACCACCCCAUCUAGGAUUCCUCCAUCAAUUAAUCUGAAUACAUCACUGUUUUAUUUUUUCUCAAGGCCUUUAUCACUCCCUGACAUUAGGUUUGUUAAUUAUGCAGUUGUUUAUUUUCUGUCACCCACUCCUUUGAAAUGAAAGUUCCCUGAGCACAGGAUCUGCAGCUUGGCUCUCUGCCCCAUCCUCAGUGCCAGCAAGUGAACCUGGAACAAGGUUGUGCAAGGACGGCUCUGAAAGUCAUCUCAAAACCAUGAGGGCAGCAUGGCCCACCUGCUGAAGAUGGCACAGUGGAAAGGUGAAGUCUCAGGGCUCAGACGAGAUUGUGAGCUGGUGAAUUAACACAGGAGCCUUCUUUCCCCAAGUUCCUUGUCCUAUGAGGUUAUACCAUUGACUGUUUAUGCCAUUUUUAGUUGAAGGUUCUUCUGCUUGCAGCCCCAAGCAUUCUAACUGACAUGAAAGGUCUGCUGUAGUCAUGAGCAGAUUGUGGCAGUAUAUUUUGAUAGUCUAGGUGGAGAAACCUUAGUGCAAGGGUUUCGUGAUAGCAGUUCUGCCUCUCUAAGGAUAUUCCCCUUCACUUCUGGAUUUACAGCUAUGAUCCAGAUACUGAGUACACCCUCAUUCCAGUGGUACUAUCUCAACAGGCUGCAUGGAGAGUAAUGGAAAAAGAUACCACCUUGACCAAACUGACUUUGACCCCCUGGAGCUCUCACAGUAUUUCGGGAGCUGUGAAGGGCAGACCUACCUGUGUUUCCAUCAGGCCCCAGUUUCCUCAUUACUUUGCUUAGCUUCCAAGCUGAGAUCAUUAUUAAUUAAUACACUUAUAGUUAUUAAUAUAUGGUGACAUUAAUUAACUAUAAUCUAUUAAAUGCCCCCUGUGUGUCUGGUCUGAUGCUACAUGUUGUGUUGCAUUUUCUCAUUGAUCCUCCCAACAAGCCAAGAAGAUGAGUUUUGCUAUGCAUGUUUUACAAGAAAGAACGCAAGGUUCAGAUAAUUCAUUAAUGUGACCAAAGGCCCACAUUCUGAUUGGAAAUCAGCAGAGGUAGGAUAUCACCUCGCAAUUCACCCUGGUUCCACUUCUCUAAGAGGAGUUUCUGCAGAGGGAAGCAUCUGUUUUAGAAUUGCACCAGUUCUUGGCUUGUUCUGGUGAUAAAGAAGAAACAACAUUAACCUUGAUGUCAAGAACCUGGGAUUGAAUCCCGGUCAGUCUACUGAGGCGAUCCUGGGAGGAGGGGGAGGUGUCGUGGCAUGGAUUGAUUUUUUUUUUCUCCUCUGAGUCCUAGUUGUUUUUUAUUCUCUAAAAGGGAUAGUAGUCCUUAAACUCCAGGUAAUUUAUUGUCAAAGGAAAUAGCAAAUGUGAAAUUGUCCAGGUACAGUACAAUAGGUACCAAAACCCUCUGUUUAGUUCAUUCAUUUAUUCACUCUUCACUCAUCCCUUAUAUCAACUUCUGGGUCUGCAAGAUGCAGCAUGUAAACACCCUGGCAGUGACCUUGAACACUCUGGUAGGAGUCAUUCUCCAUCACCUACCAGCUGUGAAAUGAUGGGCAGUGCAAGUAACCUUAGUAGGUCUCACGUUCUCUUCUGUAACAAAAGCAUUUCUUUUGUGACAGCUACACUUUCAUCAUUUUAAAUGUGUGAACUCAUUAAAUCUUCUCAAUAGCCAUCAAAGUCGGCGUAUAAUUAUCUCCUAUUACAGACGAGGAAAUUGAAGUACAGGGAAGUUAAAAACUUGGCCAUGUUGGCCAGGCCAGGCGCGGUGGCUCA